rnacentral:rRNA from 1 species
CUCCUACGGGAGGCAGCAGUGGGGAAUAUUGCACAAUGGGGGAAACCCUGAUGCAGCCAUGCCGCGUGUGUGAAGAAGGCCUUCGGGUUGUAAAGCACUUUCAGCGAGGAGGAAAGGUUGAUGCCUAAUACGUGUCAACUGUGACGUUACUCGCAGAAGAAGCACCGGCUAACUCCGUGCCAGCAGCCGCGGUAAUACGGAGGGUGCAAGCGUUAAUCGGAAUUACUGGGCGUAAAGCGCACGUAGGCGGCUUUUUAAGUCGGAUGUGAAAUCCCUGAGCUUAACUUAGGAAUUGCAUUCGAUACUGGGAAGCUAGAGUAUGGGAGAGGAUGGUAGAAUUCCAGGUGUAGCGGUGAAAUGCGUAGAGAUCUGGAGGAAUACCGAUGGCGAAGGCAGCCAUCUGGCCUAAUACUGACGCUGAGGUACGAAAGCAUGGGGAGCAAACAGGAUUAGAUACCCUGGUAGUCCAUGCCGUAAACGAUGUCUACUAGCCGUUGGGGCCUUUGAGGCUUUAGUGGCGCAGCUAACGCGAUAAGUAGACCGCCUGGGGAGUACGGUCGCAAGGUUAAAACUCAAAUGAAUUGACGGGGGCCCGCACAAGCGGUGGAGCAUGUGGUUUAAUUCGAUGCAACGCGAAGAACCUUACCUGGCCUUGACAUGUCUGGAAUCCUGUAGAGAUACGGGAGUGCCUUCGGGAAUCAGAACACAGGUGCUGCAUGGCUGUCGUCAGCUCGUGUCGUGAGAUGUUGGGUUAAGUCCUGCAACGAGCGCAACCCCUGUCACUAGUUGCCAUCAUUAAGUUGGGGACUCUAGUGAGACUGCCUACGCAAGUAGAGAGGAAGGUGGGGAUGACGUCAAAUCAUCACGGCCCUUACGCCUUGGGCCACACACGUAAUACAAUGGCCGGUACAGAGGGCAGCUACACAGCGAUGUGAUGCAAAUCUCGAAAGCCGGUCUCAGUUCGGAUUGGAGUCUGCAACUCGACUCUAUGAAGCUGGAAUCGCUAGUAAUCGCGCAUCAGCCAUGGCGCGGUGAAUACGUUCCCGGGCCUUGUACACACCGCCCGU